rnacentral:rRNA from 1 species
CGCGAAUCGCCCUUCGGGGUGCAGCAGGCGCGAAACCUUAGCAAUGUGCGAAAGCACGACUGGGUCAGUCCGAGUGAUUCCUGAUAAAGGAGUCUUUUGCUUGUCCUAAAAGCACAGGUGAAUAAGGGGUGGGCAAGUCUGGUGUCAGCCGCCGCGGUAAUACCAGCACCUCGAGUGGUCAGGACGUUUAUUGGGCCUAAAGCAUCCGUAGCCGGCUUUGCAAGUCUUCGGUUAAAUCCACCUGCUCAACAGAUGGGCUGCUGGAGAUACUACAAAGCUAGGGAGUGGGAGAGGCAGACGGUAUUCAGUGGGUAGGGGUAAAAUCCUCUGAUCCAUUGAGGACCACCAGUGGCGAAGGCGGUCUGCCAGAACACGUUCGACGGUGAGGGAUGAAAGCUGGGGGAGCAAACCGGAUUAGAUACCCGGGUAGUCCCAGCUGUAAACGAUGCAAACUCGGUGAUGCAUUGGCUUAUGGCCAAUGCAGUGCCGCAGGGAAGCCGUUAAGUUUGCCGCCUGGGAAGUACGGACGCAAGUCUGAAACUUAAAGGAAUUGGCGGGGGAGCAC